rnacentral:rRNA from 1 species
UGCAAGUCGAACGGUGAACCAGGAGCUUGCUCUUGGGGAUCAGUGGCGAACGGGUGAGUAACACGUGAGCAACCUGCCCCUGACUCUGGGAUAAGCGCUGGAAACGGCGUCUAAUACUGGAUACGAACCACGAAGGCAUCUUCAGUGGUUGGAAAGAUUUAUUGGUUGGGGAUGGGCUCGCGGCCUAUCAGCUUGUUGGUGAGGUAAUGGCUCACCAAGGCGUCGACGGGUAGCCGGCCUGAGAGGGUGACCGGCCACACUGGGACUGAGACACGGCCCAGACUCCUACGGGAGGCAGCAGUGGGGAAUAUUGCACAAUGGGCGCAAGCCUGAUGCAGCAACGCCGCGUGAGGGAUGACGGCCUUCGGGUUGUAAACCUCUUUUAGCAGGGAAGAAGCGAAAGUGACGGUACCUGCAGAAAAAGCACCGGCUAACUACGUGCCAGCAGCCGCGGUAAUACGUAGGGUGCAAGCGUUAUCCGGAAUUAUUGGGCGUAAAGAGCUCGUAGGCGGUUUGUCGCGUCUGCUGUGAAAUCUGGGGGCUCAACCCCCAGCCUGCAGUGGGUACGGGCAGACUAGAGUGCGGUAGGGGAGAUUGGAAUUCCUGGUGUAGCGGUGGAAUGCGCAGAUAUCAGGAGGAACACCGAUGGCGAAGGCAGAUCUCUGGGCCGUAACUGACGCUGAGGAGCGAAAGGGUGGGGAGCAAACAGGCUUAGAUACCCUGGUAGUCCACCCCGUAAACGUUGGGAACUAGUUGUGGGGUCCAUUCCACGGAUUCCGUGACGCAGCUAACGCAUUAAGUUCCCCGCCUGGGGAGUACGGCCGCAAGGCUAAAACUCAAAGGAAUUGACGGGGACCCGCACAAGCGGCGGAGCAUGCGGAUUAAUUCGAUGCAACGCGAAGAACCUUACCAAGGCUUGACAUAUACGAGAACGGGCCAGAAAUGGUCAACUCUUUGGACACUCGUAAACAGGUGGUGCAUGGUUGUCGUCAGCUCGUGUCGUG